rnacentral:lncRNA from 1 species
CCAGGAACAGACGUUUAAUGAUUGUCGGCCCAGUGCAGGGGAGCAGCCGCGGCGCAGCCUCUGUGGCCGGAGGUUCUAACGUGGACACUUUUGUUAUAAGCUAUUUAAAAUCCACAAGGAGACUCGAUACUCAGAAAGCCAACACAUUUUUUAAAAGACUGACUGACUGCGGAGCCCCGGCCGUCGCCAUGUGAGGCACAUGUGGCGGGCGGCGUGUGCCCGCCCAGAAGCCAUCACCGCUCGUCUGUGCCCGAGGCUGUGAGGACAGCAAGGGUUUUUCUUCAGAGUCUAUUUUUUCAGCAACAAGGACCCGGGUCUUCCUGCUGCUGCCAGGAGGAGCAGGGAGAGCGCCGCGAGCCGCACGAGCCCAGCACUGCCCGCCUUACGCCGCCCCUGGCCAC